rnacentral:rRNA from 1 species
UACAGAGGUCUCAAGCGUUGUUCGGAUUCAUUGGGCGUAAAGGGUGCGUAGGCGGCGCGGUAAGUCGGGUGUGAAAUCUCGGGGCUUAACUCCGAAACUGCAUUCGAUACUGCCGUGCUUGAGGACUGGAGAGGAGACUGGAAUUUACGGUGUAGCGGUGAAAUGCGUAGAUAUCGGGAGGAACACCAAUGGCGAAGGCAGCUCGCUGGGACGUUACUGACGCUGAGACGCGAAAGCGUGGGGAGCAAACAGG